rnacentral:rRNA from 1 species
UACGGAGGGUGCGAGCGUUUGUCCGGAAUCAUUGGGCGUAAAGGGCGCGUAGGUGGCGGGACAAGCGUGCGGUGAAAGCCUGGGGCUCAACCCCGGGUCGGCCGUGCGAACUGUUUUGCUUGAGCACUGUAGAGGCAGGCGGAAUUCCGGGUGUAGCGGUGGAAUGCGUAGAGAUCCGGAAGAACACCGGUGGCGAAGGCGGCCUGCUGGGCAGUAGCUGACACUGAGGCGCGACAGCGUGGGGGAGCAAACAGG